GCAAUUCCGUUAAUCUGUUCGGCUGAUUGAAUGCUUGCGAUCUGCCCGCGAUACUUGUUGCCAUCGGGCGGCCUGACAUCGCCACACCAAAGCAUGUCAAUGGCACCAUCUUCGCCACCAACCGGUGUCACAUGCCCAGAAAAUCUCCACGGUCCAGGCGUAUGCACCGUCCGCCCCGCAUCUGCUGUGGUCUGUGCUGGCAUCACGCACCGCCUUUCGCGUCGGCGAUGGCGGCUUU
rnacentral:misc_RNA from 1 species